CACUGUGGUAACAAGGCCCCAGCCACUUCAAGUCCCUCGGCUGUUGAUUGCUCUAAUUUUAAACUGGGAAGUGUAACAACAUUGCAAGUUCCUGUAACAUUUUACAACUUAAGUUGAUGGGCAAUCCUCCCAAAGCUGACACCCAUAUCCUGUGGGUAACAGAUGAUGAAAGGUGAGCUCAGCCAGUCCAGGGAGCCCAGUCCACAGUGCUCUCUGCUUCCAUCUGCUCUGUCAACCCUAGGUAUGUAUUUGUGCUAGACCUUGUGUAAAAAAAGGCAAGCAGACCUGCUUCCAGCCUCAGGGAGCUCACCCCUGAAACCAACAACACGAAUGUAAGUCAAAAUUAGGAUCACCUUUGACUGGAGAGCUUUUUUGUCU